GGGGCUGUAGCUCAGCUGGGAGAGCGCGUCGUUCGCAAUGACGAGGCCACCGGUUCGAUCCCGGUCAGCUCCA
rnacentral:tRNA from 1 species